rfam:Lupinus angustifolius cultivar Tanjil chromosome LG12, whole genome shotgun sequence.
CUCAACGUGUCGAGUUUUGAUUAUUUCACCGAUCUGACCGUUAAUAUUUAAGAUCCAUCAAUUAGAAAGUUGGGUUAUGUUGCCCAACUGUGCACUAACCUAGACCCGCGAAGGGUGUUGGUUGAUUAAGACAGUAGGACGGUAGUCAUGAAAGUCGAAAACCGCCAAGGUGUGUGUAACAACUCAUAUGCCAAAUUAACUAGCCCCGGAAAUGGAUGGCGCUAAAGCGCGACCUAUACCCGACUGUUGGGGUAAAGUCUAGGCCCCGAUGAGUAGGAGGGCGUGGUGGUCGCUACAAACUUGGGGCGUGAGCCCGGGCGGAGCGGUUGUCGGUGUAGAUCUUGAUGGUAGUAGCAAAUAUUCAAAUGAGAACAUCAAAUGAUAUCA